GACGAACGCUGGCGGCGUGCUUAACACAUGCAAGUCGAACGGAAAGGCCCUGCUUGCAGGGUACUCGAGUGGCGAACGGGUGAGUAACACGUGGGUGAUCUGCCCUGCACUUCGGGAUAAGCCUGGGAAACUGGGUCUAAUACCGGGUAGGAGCCAUUUUUAGUGUGAUGGUUGGAAAGUUUUUUCGGUGUAGGAUGAGCUCGCGGCCUAUCAGCUUGUUGGUGGGGUAAUGGCCUACCAAGGCGGCGACGGGUAGCCGGCCUGAGAGGGUGGACGGCCACAUUGGGACUGAGAUACGGCCCAGACUCCUACGGGAGGCAGCAGUGGGGAAUAUUGCACAAUGGGCGCAAGCCUGAUGCAGCGACGCCGCGUGGGGGAUGACGGCCUUCGGGUUGUAAACUCCUUUCGCUAGGGACGAAGCUUUUUGUGACGGUACCUAGAUAAGAAGCACCGGCUAACUACGUG
rnacentral:rRNA from 1 species